rnacentral:rRNA from 1 species
GACGAACGCGGCGGCGUGCCUAAUACAUGCAAGUCGAGCGAAGUUUUUCUGGUGCUUGCACUAGAAAAACUUAGCGGCGAACGGGUGAGUAACACGUAAAGAACCUGCCUCAUAGACUGGGACAACUAUUGGAAACGAUAGCUAAUACCGGAUAACAGCAUUAACUGCAUGGUUGAUGUUUAAAAGUUGGUUUUGCUAACACUAUGAGAUGGCUUUGCGGUGCAUUAGCUAGUUGGUGGGGUAAAGGCCUACCAAGGCGACGAUGCAUAGCCGACCUGAGAGGGUGAUCGGCCACACUGGGACUGAGACACGGCCCAGACUCCUACGGGAGGCAGCAGUAGGGAAUCUUCCGCAAUGGGCGAAAGCCUGACGGAGCAACGCCGCGUGAGUGAAGAAGGAUUUCGGGUUUCGUAAAAGCUUCUG